CGUGGGCAAUCUGCCCUAAAGACUGGGAUACCACUUGGAAACAGGUGCUAAUACCGGAUAACAACGUGAAUCGCAUGAUUCAAGUUUGAAAGGCGGCGCAAGCUGUCACUUUAGGAUGAGCCCGCGGCGCAUUAGCUAGUUGGUAAGGUAAAGGCUUACCAAGGCGAUGAUGCAUAGCCGAGUUGAGAGACUGAUCGGCCACAUUGGGACUGAGACACGGCCCAAACUCCUACGGGAGGCAGCAGCU
rnacentral:rRNA from 1 species